UCUCUGUGUGUUGAGUGUCUUUUGCAGUUGUCUUGUUAGGCUUUCAUCUUUAUUUUUGCACAAAUUCUUUGAAUUUUAGUUAAAUUUGUUUCUGCUAUGCGCUGAGAGUCACAGGGUGUUUGAAGGGACUCUUUUCUUUCUGUGUUUCUGUUCUGUGCUCUGCGCUGAGAGUCACAGGCUGUUUGAAGGGAGUUAUUGGGUGCAUUUUAAGAGUGUUUCGAAGAAGUGUUUUUACCUAUUGUCUACGUUUUCUGUUGAUUUUCCAUGUUGUGCAGGAAAUGUCGGGUGCUUCAAAUGUUAAAGCUUAUAGAAGGUCUUAUAAAUGGAAUUGUGAUAAUGUUUUGAACUUUUUUGUGUGGGGUGAGAAUGUCAUAGGGGUCCUCCUUCUAAUUCAUUGUGGGUAAUCUUUUCAUUGUCUUUCUUAAGAAUGCAGAAAUCAGGAAUAGCACCCCUACCCCUCUAUAAUUUGAUGGAGGCGGCAUGUUUGGUCAAAGCAUUUAAUCAUUACUUUUUGUUUUAUAUGCCAUGGCCGAUUUAGGGUUAAAUGUAUUUUUGUUUUUUAUUGCAGGGUGCACGUAUCCCAGAUAUUUCUAACACUUCCGAUUUUUUUAGUUUUAUAUAAUAAAAUAUGUUUUCUAUAGUUUAUGGUUUUAUUAAAAAGUAUUAUAUUUUAAGUUUUGGAUGAGAUGAAAGUAAUUAAUGAUUAUAUUUAGCAUUUUAAUGGUGUGUUGAUGGAAUUAAUUAUUUAAUAUAAUUUAAAAUUUAUAUCUUUUUAUUAGUAAUAAUAAAUUUUUCAUUUUAGUUAGAUGGUUAUAUGUAUACAAAGUUAAUAUAAAUUAAGUUUUAAGAUAAUGUUAUAUAAUACAAAGACAUUAUAAAUGAAUAUAAAGAAAAUGAACAUUUGAAGAUUGUUGAUGAUAGAAGAAAUUAGGAGAGGGAGAGACUUCAAAAAUUAUGGAAAUGAAGACUAUUAAAGAAGAUGGGCAUUUUUAAAUCUUCAAUAUUCAUUUUUUUUAAUUUUCUUUCAUAAUGUCUUUGUAUUAAGUAAUAUUUUUUUUUGAAAUUUUGUUUAUAUUGAUUUUGUAUACAUUAUGAUUAUCUAACCAAAAUUGAAUAAUUUUUUGUUAAUAAUAAAAUAUUUGUAUGUUAUAAAUUAUGAUCAAUGCUUUGAUAUUAUCACUACUAUUAGGUUGUUUCUUUAUAUUGUGUGUCCAUAUGUGUUGUACAGGAAAAUUUUAUCAUCCUUUAGCUUGAAGUUACUCUAUGGAAACUUGAUAUUAUGUUGGUGCUUCAUGUUGAACCUCACAAAACUAUUAAAUUCUUGAUCGGAAAAAACCUCUACCUUGAAUUGCUUGUAGAGAAGCUUGGAUUAUAUUGGUGCUUCAUGUUGAAGCUCAAAAAUCAUAUAAUUGUAGAUCAGGAGAAGUGGAUCCCAAAUCUUGAAGUGCUUCUAUGUAAACUUGGUAUUAUGUUGGUGCUUCUUAGAUUGAAGUGGCUCUAUAGAAAAUUCAUAUCUUGCUGAGCUCAAAAGAACAUAUAAUUUUGAAGUGCUUCUAUGUAAACUUGGUAUUAUGUUGGUGCUUCUUAAAUUGAAGUGGCUCUAUACAAAAUUCAUAUAUUGUUGGAGCUCAAAAGAACAUAUAUUGCUUGUUGAUGAAUGUGUCCAGAAUUAUCAAUAUUCUUUUUA